UUCCUGUGGGAUAAGAUCAGCUGAGCAAGUUGAGGCACAUAGUGGCCAGCAUAACUUUCUCCAACAAUAUAGAAAUCUCGAUGUUUAUAUUCUGGGAAUCUUUCCAUCCAAUUGAGGAGAAAGGUGAAACUGUCUUUUCUAGUUUUUUCGUCUCCAGUAGUAUAAUCUGAUGAUGUAUUAGAGUAAGAGAAUCCAACACCAGCUGGUGAUUCUAAAAAGAGGAUGUUUGCCACUGCAUUAAUGUCAAAAAGGUAUCAUUGUUGCACCCAAAUGGCGACAGAUUUUUCUAGCUUAAGAAAGAGGUAGUUAAGUACCAUUGUUCCAUGCAAAUUGGUUCAGCCAUAAGGUUUUUCCAUCAUUAUUAACGCGGAACGGUCCAAGUUCAAUCAUUGCCCCAGCCCCUAAUGAAGAGCAACCAGGCCCUAUAUACCAAUUAUAUACAAAAACAACAAAGGAAACAUGAUAAGCUAGCCAUCAUAAGCUCUUAAGAAACACAGACAACUCAUAAUAACACAGUAAAUCCUAAGGCAAGAAAAAUAUGAGAUUAAACUCUUAACUAGGUUUGCAUGAAGCAAGCUAGCAUUAGAAAUUAAAACAUUCCUCCUCUUGGCAAUUCGGGUAACAUGGGUGUGGUGUGUGUGUUUACCUCCAUUUAGCCACAAAACGAGAGGCUUUGUCGAAGGGUCACCAGAUGAUUCAGCCAAGUAAUAGAACAAGGCCCUACCAGCAUUUGCAUCAACAGUAACAUAUCCUGCAUAUUGAUUAAACCUGACUGCACUUGGUUGCUCUGGCAAUGCUGAGAUCUUAUCAUUUUCCUUUGAUCCUGCCUGUGGCACUAUGAGUUCUGACACUGAUCUCUGUUUCUCAGAAGCUGCUAGGCCGUGGUUAAUAAUAGUUGUUUUUGCCCUUCGGGUCUUGAGAAAUUCACGUAGAACAUCCGCUUCUCCUGCAUAACAAUAUUGUUGGGCACUUAGACAGCACAAAAUUAGAGAAAGAGUUAAAACAGAGUUAGCUUUCAUUUUCUUCCUACUCAUUCAAGAACAAACAAUAUUGAGUGAUAACUCAAGGAUCAUUCUUCUUCAUUAUUUAUAAAGUAAGCUAAACACUGACUUGUAAUUGAAUUCGUGGUAGCGACAUCUUUGUCCUUUAUUUCAUCGGUUAAAUGUCACACAAAAAUUAAGGAUAUAUAGUAAGGAUGGUUUGUUGGCUUUAAAUUUCAUGUUGUUUUCGAACAGCCAGAAAUUAGAAAAAGUAGUUCAGAAAGGAAUAAAGACAACAUUGAACAGUUACCUAAAAAGAGAAACUUAUGGUCUAGGCUUUUCAAGUAUGAUUAUGAGUGAUGCAGACAGCUAGAUUUGUGUUUCUUCAUGAUGAUAGCUCUCAUACUAAUUCACAAAAUAAUCAAAAGAGCACACUCAUUCAAUUUCAUUAUUAGGGCUGUUGUGUUUGUUUCUGUUCAAAUUAGCAAUCCUACUUUAUAUGUUGGGUUUGUUUCAUUAUUCUGUUAUCUUUCUCAUUAUUGUAUUUUUUAUCCAAAAGAUGCAUCAGCACUCACUGUUAUGUAAUUACGUUCACAUUCGUCAAAUGUCAGUUUCAAUUGCAAUUUUAAACCCUAUUCAUAUAAUAUUAGGAUAACAAAUGCAGAUGGAUAAUUGUAUCUGGAGGUGGCAAAUUUGACUAAUGAACAUGUAACUCGCCCAAUUUGGGUAUGUUAACGGGUCAAUUAAUCAACCCAUUCAUAGAAAACGAGAAGAAGUAGAUCGCCGAACCUCAACGACAUUGUAGAAGAAACAGUACAUCCACAACGGCGGUGGGCGGUGGGCGGUGGCAUUCUCCUUCGCCGGAAGCCCGCAAGGACAGCUCACUCUGUUACUCCAGCUGGCCAACCUCAAAGCCAUGGAAUCUUUUUGACUCCUCCGCAAUGACCCUCGCGAGACAUUAAGGUUUGGUAUUACUAAUACAUGGAUAUGUAUGAAAAAGUUAUAAUUAAAGUUUCUUCGAAAAGAGAUAUUUUUAUUAAAUGAUAAAGCAAAAUUAGGUCAAAUAAAUUAAAAUGGACUAAGUAUAAUGUUAAAUUUGCUAACUUAUUUUUUUAUGUGGUCUAGAAGAUUAAAUAAUUAAUAUCUAUAUUAUUAUAGUUGCAUAAUUUUAACCAUAUCGAGUACUAAUUUAAACACUUGAAAGAUUUGAUGAAAGACAUAUGAAAAGGCAUCAAAAAUCGUCCAAAUUAAAUAUUUCAUAUUUUUAAUUUGACAUACAGAAAGGAAUCAUAAGCCCUCUCGUGCUCGAAUACAAACAAUACAACGGUAAUGAAAUAACUAUUAAUUCUACAAAAUCUAUUCCAUAUGAAACCAGCAAUCCCUUUUUCACAAUGUAUCUUCUGUUUAAUUGAAACGAGGAGGGAGUGUCCCAUUGAUGAAGGAUGAAAACAUGGUCAAUGCACGGCCAGGUUGAUAGCUUGGCACGAAAUGUCCUGCUCCACGUACUGUCACGAAUGUCAAGUUUUGGUAUUCUACAGCAUAACCACCAACCUGGAGAUAUCAAAUACUUAAUUACUUGUAGAGUUGAAGAUCGAAAUGAAUGAGGACAACUUGGUUAAUUACCUCUCCUUGGAAGAACCAGGGGUACCAUGCCGUUUUAAUUGGUGUUUUGAUUUUGUCGAUAGCAUAUCUACUUGUCGUUACAGGCAAAAUAUGAUCUAUGUCUCCACUAGAAAAGAAGAUGAAAAUGUUGGUAUUUUGUAUAGUGAUUGCUAAAGUUUUCAGUAUUAAUUUUAUGGUGACUGAUUCCAGCUUGUUCGAUUCUCUUACCUGUAAAUCCAAACUCUAAUGCCACUUUGCAUGAGCUCUUGAAAGAUUGGUAGAACAGUAUGUGGGGAGUCUUCCCAAGAGAUGCCACUGCACAAGUUUAAAAUGUUUAAGAAAGUGAUCAAAUUAAUCGCAAGAGGGAUCAGCAAUUUCGAUUUGAAGUGUUAAAAUGUUUGAAAACUCACAGUAUCAAUUACCUGCAAGAUUCCCAGGAUUGGGGUAUAUCUCUGACAUUGAGUGCCUUUUGCACUUCAGCAGUGUUUAGGUAAUUAAAUACGUAAUCAGCUGAGCAUGGAUCAAAUCCAUCUAUCUGUUAUUGUACACAAAAGAAAAAGUUAUGCUACAGAUCAUUGCUUUUAAUUUGGGCGUAGAAUGCUGUUGUUCAUGGUCUUUUAUUUCACUUUCAUCUUAAUUUGAGACACUUAAAUUUUGAGUUGUCCUAUAUAAACAUGGCGAAGGAAUGAGAAGUUAGCCUGUGGAACUUACAGGAAGGGAAGUAUAGGCAGAGGAGUUGCAGAGCUGGGAAUAUGUGUUAUAAUCAUAUAUAUUGGCUUGACAUGAAUCUGCUUCGCUUGUGAAUUCAUCACAAGCUUCUGAGAUAGUUGUUUCUGUUGAAAAGUUGCAAUUCUUUAUAAUUCCUUCAUGGACUUCAUCUGAUAUUAGUGCGUGUGACCAAUAAAAGUCGUAUGAACCACUGUUUGAAGUUUCAUCGUCGAGGAGGGCAUUUCCGGUCUUAAAAUCAUGCCACAUGCAAAUUAAUAAGAUUUAAUAUUGUGACUCCUACAAGAAGGAAAAAAAUGAAUUGUCAUUUGAACAAGAUUAAUCAGCUUACAGCUAUUCCUUGCAAGUUAAUGACAAGGUUGGGUUCUGAUUUCUUGUGGGAUAAGAUCAGCUGAGCAAGUUGGGGAACAUAGUGCCCAGCAUAACUCUCCCCAACAAUAUAGAAAUCACGGUUUUUAUAUUCUGGGAAUCUUUCCAUCCAAUUGACGAGAAAAGUGAAACUGUCUCGUUUAGUCUUUUCAUCUCCACUAGUAUAAUCUGAUGAUGUAUUAGAAUAAGAGAAUCCAACACCUGCUGGUGAUUCUAAAAACAGGACAUUUGCCACUGCAUAAUCAUUGUCACAAAAAUGUGUUGUUAUUUAUGGAUUUUCUGAUUUUUUUUUCAGUAGUGAUGAUAGAUUUUGCUAUGAAGUACCAUUGUUCCAGGCAAAUUGAUUGAGCCACAAGGUUUUCCCAUCUUUAUUGACGCGAAAUGGUCCAAGUUCCACCAUCCCUCCAUUUCCGAAUGAAGAGCAACCAGGUCCUAGAAAAAAAAUGUGUAAGGUCAUAAGGUUAAGUUCGGAAGACAAUUCUAGUAAUUAGCGCAGUGUGAUGUGUUUAUUUACCUCCAUUUAGCCACAAAACAAGAGGCUUUGUAGCAGGAUCAUUAGAUGAUUCUGCCAAGUAAUAGAAUAGGGCUCUACCAGAAUCAGCAUUAACAGUCACAUAUCCUGAAUAUUGAGCAAAAUUGAUCCCACUUGGUUGCCCUGGCAAUGCCGAGAUCUUGUCAUUUUCCUUUGAUCCUACCUGUGGCACUAUGAAUUCAGACACUGAUCUCUGUUUCUCAGCAACCGCUACGCCUUGGCUAAUAACAUUUGUUGUUUUUGUCCUUCGAGCCUUGAGAAAUUCUCGUAGAACAUCUACUUCCCCUGCGUAACAUUGUCGGGCACUUAGGUAGCACAAAAUUAGAAUUACACUUAAAACAGAAGAAAUGUUCAUUCUCUUCCUUCCUGAUUUAAUGAAACAAGAAAUGGUGAGUGAUAACUCAACGAUAACUUUUCUUUACUAUAUAUCCUAUGCAAAAUGUUGAGAAGGUCGUCAGAUAUAUUUUCUUGUACUAAAAUUGGACCAACAUCUUUUGUCAUUUGUGCUCUUUGGUUAAAACGCCAACUUGUUCCUUAAUAAGUUGUUUCCUUACCAUUACCCAUCCUCCGAUUUCAUCACCAUCAAUAAUUAUUUCAUUCACUAAUCAUUAUACAUAAUCAUCAUCAUUGAUCAAUAUUAUAUAUAAUUAACCAUCAUCAUCAUUUCGCUACUAAUUAUCAAUCACUACAAUCAACAACCAUAACUAAUCAGUACUGUCAAUCACUAUGCCAUAAAAUAUUAUUCACAAUCACCCUCGCUUGUCAUUGACACACACAAUUGCUUCCAUCACCAAGUGUCAUAUAAUUUUUUAAAAAGUAACUUAUGUAUAGUAUAUCAAUUUAGUAUUUUAUAAAAAAUUUAUCUUUAUUAUUUUUUAAACAAAAACAAAUUUUAUACAUUCAUAUAUUGAAAAAUCAAGUAGGGUUAACUAAUAUGUGCAUUUAGAUCAAAAUAUCUUAAUUUUAACCAAAUAAAUGAGAAAAUUGUUCCUAUUUAUAACUGUUCUGUUUAUAGUAACGGUUCGUUAACUUUGUUUUCUUCCUCCUGUUUAGUUUUUUCAACUUUUCCCCAAAAUAUAUCACGCGCUACUGUACAUGUUUAGCGCGAACAGAAUUUACGCCUCCAAAUUUACUCAAUUCGCCCCGUAGCGUAAAUACUUCCUCGUGAUAUAGAAAUUUUGCCAUUCUGUUGUGCUUUUCUGAUUUAUUUUUUCAAUUUCUUCGUAUUCAUUGAAUGAUGAAGCCGGCGCAAACAAAAUUGUGCGUUUGUGUUUUUCUUCAUGAGAAAUUUGUGCUUGAUUUUGAUCAAUUUUGUUGAGACAAGAGUUAGGGUUUAUGGAUGUUAUUUUUAAGUCACAGGAGUAUAAAAUUUGUUUGUUUAGAUGCUUCUUUUGCAAUUGAACUCGAUCUUAAAGAGUAUGAAGUGUUGAAGAAUUUGUAGUUCUAGUGCUUAUUACAUAGAGUAAAACAUGUUCAAUAGUCUAUAUAAGUUGCGAUAUAACUCAGAGAAUAGCUGAAGAAAAUACCAAGAAGAAAAAACUCAAGAAGAAUGAGUAGACUAUAAGUAAUUGUUAAGCUUCACUAGAUAUUGUUGCAUCAGUCGAUCCAUGAUAUUUGUUUUGCUGCGGAUAAGGAAGAAUGUAUCUUCUGUUUAAUGGAAACCAGGAGGGAGUGUGCCAUUGAUGAAGGACGAGAACAUGGUCAAUGCACGGCCAGGUUGAUAGCUUGGCACGAGAUGUCCUGCUCCUCUGACCGUCACAAAUGUUAAGUUCUGGUAUUCUACUGCGUAACCACCAACCUGGAGAUAUGAAAUACUUGAUUCAUAUUCAUACUGGAAAUUAAGAAAUUGUAGGGUUUGAAGAUCUUAUAAUGACAACAUCGUUGAUUACCUCCCCAUUGAAGAACCACGGGUACCAUGCCGUUUUAAUUGGUGUUUUGAUUUUGUUGAUAGCAUAUCUACUUGUCGUUACAGACAAAAUAUGAUCUACGUCUCCACUGGAAAAGAAGAAGAAGAGGGGCUUCAUCUGAAAAUGAUAUAUAUUUCGGGAUUGCGAAAGUUUACAUUAUUAGUUUUAUGGUGACUGAUUCCAGCUUGUUUGAUUUUACUUACCUAUAAAUCCAAACUCUGAUGCCACUUUGCAUGAGUUCUUGGAAGAUUGGUAGAACAGUAUUCGGGGAGUCUUGCCAAUAGCCGCCUAUGUCAUCACUGCACAAGUGAGGAUUGAAGCAAGUGAUCAAAUUAAUCGGAAAAAGGAUCAGCAAUUUCAAUUUGAAGAAUUAAAUUGUUCUAAAAAAAUCACAGAAUCUACUUACCUGCAAGACUCCCAGGAAUGGGGUAUAUCUCUGACAUUAAGUGCCUUUUGCACUUCAGCAGUGUUGAGGUAAUUCUCUACGUAAUCAGCUGAGCAUGGAUCAAAUCCAUCUAUCUGUUAUGAUACAAAAACGAAAAAGUUAUGCUAUAGAUAAUUGCUUGUAAAUUUGGGCGUAGAAUGCCGGUGAGCAUGGUCUUUUAUUUUGCUUUUGCCUUGAAUUGUGACACUUAAGAUGUUGAAUUAUUUAGAUUGGUAUAAACACCGGGAACAAGUCAUGAGUUAACCAAUGGAACUUACAGGAAGGGAAGUAUAGGAAGAGGAGUUGCAGAGUUGGGAAUAUGUGUUAUAACUAUAUAUAUUGCCUUGACAUGAAUCUGCUUCACUUGUGUACUUGUCACAAGCUUCUGAGGUAGACGUUUCUGUCGAGAAGUUGCAAUUCUUGACAAUUCCAUCAUGGACUUCAUCUGAUAUUAGUGCGUGUGUCCAAUAAAAGUCGUAUGAACCACUAUUCCAUGUUUCAUCGUCAAGGAGGGCAUUUCCAGUCUGAAAAUCAUGUCAUAUGCAAAUAAGAUAACAUUAGUGGCCUAGUCAGUAUUAAAAGAAGAUAAAUAUCAUUUGAACAAGUUUAAUUAGCUUACAGCUAUUCCUUGCAAGUUGAUGACAAGGUUGUGUUUUGUUUUCUUCUGAGAUAAGAUCAACUGAGCAAGUUGAGGUACAUAGUGACCAGCAUAACUCUCCCCAACAAUGUAGAAAUAGCGAUUUUUAUAUUCUGGGAAUCUUUCCAUCCAAUUGACGAGAAAUGUGAAACUGUCUUGUCUAGUUUUUUCGUCACCAGUGGUAUAAUCUGAUGAUGUAUUAGAAUAAGAGAAUCCAACACCAGCUGGUGAUUCUAAAAACAGGACAUUUGCCACUGCAUAAUCAUAGUCACAAAAAUGACAUUGUUAUUCAUAGAUUUCUGAUUUGUUUUUUCUUCCUGUACUGAUGAUAGAUUUUGCUAUGAAGUACCUUUGUUCCAGGCGAAUGGGUUGAGCCACAACGUUUUUCCGUCUUCAUUGACGCGGAAUGGUCCAAGUUCCGCCAUCCCUCCAUUCCCGAAUGAAGAGCAACCAGGUCCUAUCAAAUUCAUCCAAAAGUACCUUUUAAAAUUUGUGAUUUUUAACAUAUCAAUAUGACAAGUUGAUUUGUAUGUGUAUUUACCUCCAUUUAGCCACAAAACAAGAGGCUUGGUAGAAGGGUCAUUAGAUGAUUCUGCAAAGUAAUAGAACAAAGCUCUACCAGCAUUAGCAUCAACAGUUACAUAUCCUGAAUAUUGUGCAAAAUUGAUCCCUUUUGGUUGCCCUGGCAAUGCCGAGAUCUUGUCAUUUUUCUUUGAUCCAACCUGUGGCACUAUGAAUUUUGACACUGAUCUCUUUUUAUCAGCAACAGCUCGGCCUUGACUCAUAACAUUUCUUGUUUUUGUUCGCCGAGCCUUGAGAAAUUCACGUAGAACAUCUGCUUCCCCUGCGUAACAUUGUUGGGCACUUAAGAAGCACAAAAUUAGAAAUAGAGGUAAAACCGAGGAAAUGUUCAUUCUCUUCCUUCCCUAUUCAAUGGAACAAGAAAUGAUGAGUGAUAACUCAACGAUAACUCUUCGUUAUUAUAUUGCCUAUGCAAAACGUUGAGAAGGUUAUCAGAUAUAUUUUCUUGUACUCAAAUUGGACUAACAUCUUCUGUCAGUUAUUCUCUUUGGUUAAAAAGCCAUAGGCAUUUAGCAGCUAUAACUUGUUCCUUAAUAAGUUGUUUCGAUCAGCCGGGGGAUUGAUAAAUUUAAGUAGUCGUACUACUAAACCUAAGGAGAUUGUUGGCUUUGAUUUUUGGUGUCAUUGUCGAUCAGAGAGUGAAGAUGAGUAUUAUAGUGACAGUGUAUAUAACUUAGUGAAGUUUAUUACUCCAUUAAAUACUCUUAGUUCAACUUCCACCCAUGACGUGCAACAUUUAAUUACCUUGAGAUGGAGAGUAUUACUCCUUUCUAUCUUUUAUAUACACUAGAGCGUGAUUUGGUUGACCAGGUCAUAAGAAAUACUAGGGGUCAGUUUAUCGUUUGGCAGGGAACAAGUAAUUUCAAAAUUAAUUCGCACUAUGUAUAUGGAAUAACUCAUCUUAUUAUCAAAAUAUAAAUGGUGAUAUAAAUAAUUUAAUAAUUAUCCUAAUAUCUUCAACCAAACGCAAAAUAUGCACCUGAAAUUAUUACUGGCCUUAUUAAACUACUAGUCUUUGCGCACGUGUACCCUAUUAAUUAAUAUUUCGUUUUUUUUAAAUGACACAAGUAUAAAAUAUAUAAAUAAGGCAUAAAGUAGAAUUUUUAGAAAAAUAAUCAUAAACUUGAAACAAUGAAGGGUGACAUGUAUACUCCAAAUUUUGUGAAUUAAUUGAAACGUCAAGUAAUAUUACCCUAUUAUCAAAUAUAGAUAUGAGAACCAUAUAUUUAUUCACCGGUCAUUUGUAUUACAUACACUUGUAUUAUAUAUAUGCAUGAAUUUUCAAUUUAAUUGGUACCAUAAAAGUGAGGUUCAACCAUAUUAUUUUAAUUGUUACCAUAAAAGUGGCAUUACUACGAUGACUUUCUGAAAAUAAUGUCUCUAUGAUCCUAUACUAUGUGUUGACAGUAAUAACUACAUUUCUUAAAGGAUGAAAAAGUUCGUCAAAGAACCAACAAAAAUUGAAAUCCCAAGAUAAAAAAUAGAAAACUAUCACAUAACGUAUAAAAUUGAGCAUUACCUCGAGAAUACAUUUCAAAAUUACUAAAAAUAGUCAAAAAAAUAAAUAUAAAGAAACAUUCAAUGAUACAACAUAUUAACAAAACCACACAAAAAUAAAUAAUAACUGUGUAAACCUCUUCUAGUCUAGAUUGAAACCAUAAUGAGGCUAAGCAUAUCAAAUACCAUAAAACCAAUAAAAAAGUUGAUAUUCAAAGAAUACAUCAAAAUCUAAUAUUAAGAAAGAAGAAUCAAAAGCAAAUAACACUAAAAAGAUCACACAAAAUUAACAAAUUGUAUUACAGAUUCUUAGCACAAUUUGAUGAAAACAAGAUCAAAAACUUAAAGAAAACAUAUUAAAAUACAAUAAACAAAAUCAAGAUUAAAUAAAUAAAAUAAGUAAAAAUUUAAGGAAUCCCAUAGUGUAAUUCAAUAAUUACAUUCUGUCCCGAUAAGUUUAAUAAUUACAAAAAAUCCCUUAAAAUUGCUGAGCCGUGAUACUUUAGAAUGUAGUGAUACAUGGUAAAUGAUACAUGGUAACUUAAAACUGUUAAGAAAAAUAGGGGAUAAAAACGGUAAAUUUAAUGCUGUUACUAAAACAGCUUAAUUUGUGGUAACAGAUCAUUAAUUAGCAUUAAAUUAGCACUUAAUUGGAUAUUAAUUUCAAAAUUUGAAAAUCAAAGAUUGUAUCAGUUAUUUUGAAAACAAUUUUUUAAAACAUUCUGUUAAAAUUGGAGCUACCGAAAUUUUGUUGUUGUUGCAGUGGGUUUUUGAAGAUGAAUACUUCGAUUUUGAUGAGACAUUCCGGAAUCUGGGUGAACGAAUUGCAGUAUGAAAGUUACAAAAUUGAUGGAAUCGUUGUUGGAGAUUCAAUUUCGUUUUCUAAUCUCAAAGCAGCAAUUGCAGCCGAGUUGGAUAUUGAUGUAUCAAGGAAAGAAAUUGAAAUUCGAUAAAUUGUAGAAGGUAACUCCUGUCCGAUGAAACUUAAGAACGAUAUGAGUGUUAAACUAUAUUUUGAACUGAAAAAAAACGAGCCUGGAUUUUCAAUAUAUCCAUUAUGUAUUGACACAAUUGAGAAGAAUAGUGGUACUGUACAUAACUUUGAUGGAAGAAGUGGAGAAAUAACGUGUGUAGAAGGCACAACAAAUGAUACACAGGCUUUGGCAAUAGUUGAAAAUAGCUUAUUUGAGACACAUGAUAAUGCAGAAGUUGGAGUUGCAAAUGUUAUAAUCAAUUCAGAUAUUGUUGAUGUGAAGACAGGUCAGAUAUACAAGGAUAAAACAACACUUGUAGAUGUGAUGACGAAAUAUAAGAUAAAGAACAACUUCAACUGCAAAGUGAAGAGGUCUGAUCAACAAAGGUAUGACAGUGUUUUGAUAUUUUAAUGUAUCAUGUGUUAUUUUAUAAUUUAAUUAGUACAUGAAACAUUACUGUUCUAUAUGAAAACCUGCAAGUUUCAUAUGUUAUUUUAUAAUCUAAUGUAUCAUCAUUUCAGGAAUUUGUUUUUGAUACAUUGAAAUAACUAUAUUUGAUACUUGAAAGUACUACUACUGAUAUAGUAAGGACUGUAUCAGUUUAAACAGUCAUAUCACAAAUAGUGGAUAAUUUUGAUUAAAUUUUGAUACUUUUCUUAAAAAUUGGUUGAUACUUUUUGUGUGAUUCAUUGUUUGAUUACUUUAAACAUUAUUGUUGAAUAUAUUAUAUAUGUUGUAUUUGAUAUGUGUAUUAAUAUGCUUAAAAAAUGUACGCAGCUAUGUGUUGGUAUGCUUUUCAGACAAAUGUGAUUGGACUAUGAAGGCGUCGUGCAGGAAAAAAUCUGAUAUAUUCAUUGUUAGAAAUUUCAAUAGUGAACAUACGUGUCCGAUGAGGGAGAGGGUAUUAACCAAAGUCCAAGCAACAGUGGGAUUUGUAAGUGGAGUGACAGCUCCAAAAUUGGUCAAUUAUAAACGAAUUUAUACACCAAGGGAUAUAAUUGAUGAUAUUAGAGAAUAUUAUGGUGUUGAAAUAUCUUACCAGCAAGCAUGGCGUGCUAAAGAACGUGCACUCUCCAUGAUUAGAGAAAAAUCAUCUGCUGGAUAUAGACGGAUGCCGCGAUACAUACACAUGUUAAAAACUGUGUAUCCAGAUUCUUAUAUAAGAAUGCAUAAGACUGAAGAGGAUGAAUUUAUGUAUCUGUUCAUCGCCUUAAGACCAUUCAUUAGGGGAUUUAAAUACUGCAUACCAGUAGUUGUUGUGGAUGGUGCACAUCUGAAGUCGUGCUUAUGAUUAUAAAUAAUUUCUUAUUAUUGGUGUUGAUAAAUAUACUUGUGUCAAUAUUUGUUUUGAAUAUAUAAAUCUUAUGCUACAGUAAGAUAUAUAAUUUAAGAAUUAAUAGGUAACAUAAUGUACAUGAUACAUAUGGUUUAUCUAGUGUAUCAUGUACUUUUAUUGUGUAUUUUUUGUACACAUUGUUUAUAUAAUGUAUCAUGUACUUUUAGUGUGUAUCAUUGGUUUGCACAAUGAUACAUCUCCAUUAGAUAAAAAAUACAAAUAUAUUGUUGAGGUUAUUGAGUACUUUAGAAUGACUACAAAUCAUGUAUCAUGUGAAUUUAUAUAAUUUAACUUGUGUAAUGCUUUUUUUGUUAUGCUUUUAUUGAAAUAUACAGUAAAUAACUUUCCUUUAAAAAAAUAAUACCAAUUCAUAUGAAUAUGCUAUUCAAUUUACCUAAAUAUCUUGUAAAAUUUAAGGAUUACAGUGUAACAUAUUGUACAUUAUACAUACGGUUUAGCCAAUGUAUCAGUUAUUUUUAGUGUGUUUUUGGUACAUAUGUAUCAUUUGAUUUUGGCAGUGUAUCAUCUCGAUCAAAUAAAAAAUUUAAAAAUCUUUAUGUCUAUGUUUAAUUAUAAAUACUUUGAUUAUACUUUAUUAAAUGAUUUAAACAUGGUUUUGGCAGUAUAUUUAUUAUGUCUAUGUUUAAUUAAAAAUUUAAAAAUCUUUACAUAUAUCAUUUGAUAUUUAUAUCUUCAAUAUAAACAAAUUUGUUACGUAAUGUGAAAAAAAAUAUUCAUGGAAAUUGACAAAACCAAAAAAAUAACAUUAAAAGGGAUAAAAAUAGUUGUUCAAUAACAUAUAAAAAUAAUAAAUAUAACAUUAAAACAUUGUUUUAUCAUGAAAUGCUACGCUAUGUGAACUAAAUCUUCUUCUGGUGGUGGUGUGACUACGCCCCUGAAUUUUGGUGGAUCAUCAUUAUCGCUAACAUAUCCGCACUUAGCCUUCUCACUUCCAUAACUCCACAGCAAUGCUCCAUAUCUUUGACGCAGGUAAUCAGGAUUAAAAUCAGCAUAAGAUAUAUUGAUUUGGUCACUGAUAUACUCGGCAAAUGCAGUAACAUAUAACCCACAGUCUCUACAAAAAAUACAGAAUAAAUUAAAAACUUAAUGAUACAUUAAAAAGGGCAAAUGAAAAAUUCUUGAUACUUACAGGCUAUCGCUUUCCUGUGUAGGGAUGUCUUGUGCAAAUUCUAUCAUGAAAGGAACUUGAGGCUCCAGAAGUGAGCCAUUAUUGUUGUCUUUAUAUGCUUGACAAUCAGCAAAUUUUGUGCGUUCAUUUUCUUCAAAAAAUUCACUGUCAAGUAGGUAUGAAGGAAACAUUUUAGACAACAUCUUGAUCUCAUGAGGAAUUGUUUGUUUCCUUGUGCUAAUUGAUGAGUCAAAAACCCUUAUCAACCUGUUUUUCAACUCAACAACAGCCAACACCCAAUGGAAUUGUUGAUCACAGUUAAUUGGGAUGUAGACCUCAUCUACAAGAUGCCAUGGUAAAGCAGCUGGUAUUCCAAACCCUUUGAUGAUGUUAAUUAUUGACCUCUCAUGUACAGAUACAACUGAAGCGCGAUCAAUAUGUUCUUGUGUAGUAAGACUAUCAUCAUCAUCGUCCAUGUAAUAUCUAUCAUAACAGUUUUUUACAUGUGACAUGAACAAACAGUGGGUUGUUGUGUAUCUGUAUUGAUCCAUGCUGCAAAGUUUUGAUUUUUUACGAAGGUAGUAAAAAAUCACAUCGAUGUGCUAUAAACAAAAUGAAAACAGAGUAAGAAAUUAUUUACAUCUAAACAAUAUAAAAAAAGAAAUAUAAUUAUGUGAAUAUAGUAUGAUACUUUUGCAAAUUAAAUAGUAUGAUACUUAUACAUAAUGUAUCAUUGCUAAUUAAAUAGUAUGAUACUUAUACAGAAUGUAUCAUGAUGUUAUAAUAUAGUUAUGACUGAUACAUAUUUCAUAAAUAGUUUAAUAUUUUACCUCAUCAGACCAACACUUGUUUGGCUGUGACAUGGCAUAAAACCAAUUCUUGUUCAUUGGAAAAGCAACAACAAAGUCCAUCAUCGUAAAUCCAAAAGAAGAAGAUCUUGAUCUGUAUUUAUCGUCCGAUGGGUUCCUGCAUAUAUGAUACAUAAGUUUUCAAUGUAUGUACAUGAUACAUAACACUCACUUAUUUACAGUUUUUAUAUAACAAAGUAUCAUGAAUUAGUUGUAUAUAAAAUGAUUACGCCUAACACUGAGAAAAAAAAUGUAUAAAACUUACUUAUUGUUAUGAUUUUUUAGAAGCCCCCUCAACAACCAAUUCAUGUAAUCCUCAAUCAGUUUCGGCGAAACUUUAUCUGCAAUGCCACAUCCUUCAAACGGGAAAUGGAGUCGAGCCAUAUCCUUCAAUUUCUCUUUUCCCUUCUCGCUUGACCCAAAAGAAGUACAAUAUGGAGAUUGAAUCCUUCUCGAAGGCAUUCUAUUUCUAUGCGCAGGAGUGACUGCAUCAGUUUUAACAGCAAUCUCCGUUAUUAGUAUUUCAGUGGGUAAUUGACUGUCGGUCAACAAGUACUGGCUGCUAGUUAUAUUCUUUGGAUCGUAAGAAUAUAAUGGUCUAGCAUUGGUAGCAUCUUUACCCAAAUCUUUGAUAAGCGCAUCUAUUGCUGCUUGAGUGGAUGGCGAUAUUGUUGUUGAAGUUGAAGAAUCCUGUAUAAUAUGAUGUAAUGAUUUUUAGAAUAAAUUUGUGUGUAAUGAAAUUGUGUGUCAUAAAUCAAAAUUGAAAAAUGUACCGAUGAAUCCGUUGUUGUUUUUUCGGGCAACACAUGAGGGAUGUUGUGAUGAACAUUGUCGUCAACGGCUUGGUCCAUGAUAUGUUCAUUUAAAUCUUGGUGCGACUGAUGUGCGUCACCAUCCUGCAUAUGCAGUUUUGAAAUAAAUACUGUUAAUAUAAUUUGUGUUGAUACGUAACAUUGAUAACAAUCACAUGAUACAUAGUAUUGAUUAAAUAUGUAUGAUACAUGACAGAAUAUAAAAUGAGAAAAAAAAAUGAUCAUGAUACAAAGCAUUGACUAUAUGUGCAUGAUAUACAACAUACCCAAUGUAUCAUAAACAUUACCUUUGGAUUAUCACUGACUAUUGGUUCACCCUCAUUUACGGAAACACCAACACCAUCCACAUCGACAUCCCCUGCAUCGUCGACGAUAUGAUGCUCACCAUUUUUACCAGAAAAAUCACCACCAUCCUCAGCUACACCACCCAUAUCAUCGAGAUCAACUGGUAUUUGCUGAGAUGUUUGUUUGUCAGACUGAAAUGUGCUUGUAUCAGCCUGAAAAUUGAUGUUCUCUUUGCUAAUAGAUUGCAUCAGCUGGGAGUGAUUUGCUUUUAUCAAAAUAAUCAGUUCCUCAAAUUUCUUGUCAACCUAAAAAUUGUAGAUACAUUUAGGAUAAAUAAAAGUUUGUUUAAAAAUUACAAAAUAAUUUACUUACGUAAUUUCUCAAAUAUCCUUUCAACUCUUCAAUAUGAGGAAUUAUAUUGUUGACAUUCUGUGAAUCUGCAUAUCCAUGAACAUCAGCAGCCGGGUUCUGAGAAACGUCUGGAACAGAACCAUGUACAUCAGCAGCCGAUUUCGGUGACACUUGUGGAACAGAACCAUGUACAUCAUCAGCAUUCGAAUGUUGAGGCAGACUUGACAUGGAAACAUGUACAUCAUCAUCCGGUGUCGGAGACACAUUUGAUUGAUCAGGCUGUUUCUGUUCUGACACCUUCUUUUUUUGAAUAAUCGAUUUUUUUCUUCUUUUUGGCGGUGGUGGAGGAGAUGUAUCAGACACUCUAGAAUAUGUCCUCAAUAACUGUUCGGGCGGUUUUGUGGAGAAAUCAUCUAAAUCAUGUUCCUCGUUUGGUUGUACUAAUGGUAUUGAUGUAGAAUGAGCAUGUUCAACUUGAGCAAUAUCAAAAGCUUCAAUUUCCUCUGCUGUUGGGACAAUGUUUGAACAUGCAUUCUAAAUGUAUCACAAACACAUAAGAUAAUUUAACUGUUAGAUACAGUAAUAAUUCAUAAUGUAUCACAAAGACAUAAAUAACGAUAUUCCAUAUACAAAAAUGAAAUUUUACCUUUUGGAAAAUGGUGGACAUAAGCAUUUCAAACUUUGCCUUUUCAGACACAACUCUCCAAUUGCAUAUUCUUGGGAUGACAUUGCGUUCUCUCACAGCUAUUUCUGAAUUUAAAUUGGAUGCACAUUCGUAUAUCCAAACAUUUAGUGUAUAUGGCAUCCCAUGUAAUCGGUACAACUUUUUACUAACGUCAAAAUCCUGUCUAAGUGAACCAAUUAGUUUGGAAAAUGAUAGUUGACCCCAAGGAAAAUGUUGAUAUCUACCAUCUUCAACCAUUAGAAAGUCGACAAUAGAUAUCGUUGUAUUAUCAAUAGUAGCUAAUACAAAUGUAUGAAUAAAGAACAGUAUAGACAUUUGGAGUGCAUCCUGAUUGCUCUCCCAAUUACCCAUCUUAAACCUUUGAACUAGUUGAUGCUUUGUAACACUAUUGACUGCACCAGGGAAAUACUUUUUAAAAAGCAUACAAUUAGUUUGUUCUGGGUAUUUGAAAUCAUUGGUAUUUCCUCUGACCUUAAGUCCUGUUAAUAAUGCAAAUUCAUCUAUACCAAAUUUCAGGACACACCCGUUGGAAUGUCUAAUAUGCAACACAUUAGGGUUGCUUUGUUCCAAUUCUAAAAGCAAUAAGCACUUAGUUAUUUGGCCCUGAAAAUUACAUUUAGAAAUGUCUAAAAAGGGUCCAAAAAUUGUAUCCUUAAACAUUUGGAUAACAUUGUCCCCCACGUAUUUUUCAAAGUCCUUUAGGAAAUUGUUGUUAAAGUUGACAGCAAACCUUAUGGGAUGUGUUGGUAUCUUUUUAAUCUUGUACUUCAGUGGCUGCAAUUUGAAAAUAAAAUCGCAAAUUAAAACGAUAUAGAAAUAUAACUACUAAAUAAAACAACUAAUAACUUAAUGAUACAUGGUUUCAGUUAUCAGAAUUUCAUACUACAUGAAAACAUGUGAUACAUGUCUAUAACAUGUAUCAGUGAAUUAAAUAAAACAUUAUAACAUGUGAUACAUGUCUAAUACAUGUAUCAUAAACAGCGACUAAACAACAUACACAAAGAAUCUAUAUGUAUCAUCAACUAUAUCUGAUGAAGCAUUUAUUAAACUUAGUGAAUGAUACAUUAUAACAAAUUUCAAAACAUGUAUGAGUACAUCAACUAAACAACUAAUACCUUACUGAUACAUGAUAUCAUUCAGGAAUUCAUACUACCUGCAGAACAUGUGAUACAUAGCUACUACAUGUAUCAGUACAUUGACUAAACAAUGUACACACAGAUUCUACAUGUAUCAUCAAGCACAGAUUAUACUUUACUACACUUAAUGAAUGGUACAUUAUAAUAAUUUUCAAAAACUUAAUGAUACAUAUAAAAUAUUAUGAAACACAACAAAUUCACGUAUCAGUUGACCAUCUAAAACAUUAUACACCCUUUUUCAAAUGUAUCAGCAAGCACACUUGAUUCCUUAAAAAAUUUACUAAUUAAAACAACACCAUUUUUAAGUACCAAAAUACUAACCCGAGUCAAUGUAGGCCUAACAACAGUGUUUGCUGCUUCUUUUUUCCUUUUUUGUUGUAUUUUUACAACCUUUGAUGUUUCGCCAUGGUCUUUGUUUGAAUCCUUUUGAAGAUUCAUAGGAUCAUGCAAAGACUUUCCUAUUUUCUUUCCAAUUAUCAUCGUCGGAAUCAUAUAUCCUUCUAUUAAUUGACGGAUCCAUUACUAUGAUGUAAUAGAACAAUUAACAAAAACAAAAAAGAGAAGAAUAUAUGAAUUGAUGAUGGAUUAACUAUAAAAAGGGUCUGGGUUCUUACGAUUCAAGAUUAGGAAGAAAUAGUCGAAUAUGGAUUAAGAAUAAAAAGAAGAAAAUAAAAAAAAUAUGCUGGGUUGAGAAGAUUCAAAAUUAUGAAGAAAUAGUUGAAUGAAUAUGAUUAAGGAAAAAAAAAGAAGUGAAAGGUGACUUUGGUAAGAACAAAACGGUAGAAUGAAGUGGAAGUUACCCUGCUUCCUGAUUUUUUGAAUUUUGAAAUUCAAAAUUUCAAAAUUUGUUCUUUUAUUUAAAUUUAAUUAAAUUUAAUAAUUCAAAAUAAAAAAGCUGAUUAAAAGGUUGAGUGUUUAAAUGGAUAAAAUUUAAAAUUCAAAAACUAAUUUAAGAGGUUGAGUGUUUUAAUGGAGAAAAAAUAGGCAUUAAAAUUGGUAAAUGUGUAUUAUAGGAGAGAGAGUGUAAUGUAUCUAAAAACUUACACUAAAAUAAAAAAAAUAGAGAAUUAUGUAAUAUUUAAAAAAAGUAGGGAAAAUUGGAGAAUAUAAAAAUUAUAGUUGUGUAUUUAAGUUAUUUUUCCAUAAAAUAAUAAAAAGGAAAAACCAUAAAGAUUCAAUAUGAAUGAAAUUACCUUUAGUGUCUAUACUACUUCUUGUAUAUCUUUUCUCUAUUAACAACAAAAGGUGAUAAAGAAAUAAUCACUGACACAGUCCCAAGCCAAAAUUAAAUUGAUUUUAAUAAAGAAGAAUUGAUAUACACAUUUAUUAAGAAAAAUACAACUUUUGGUCUUUCCUCUUCUUGUAACUUUUUCCCAAAAGAAUUUGAACCAUUGUGUCUAGAGGCAUGAAUUUAAAUAAAAAAAUAUUAUCUAAUAUUAAAUUAAUUAUAUAUUAAUAUUUAUUUAGUUUAGAGAUUUAAUAAGGACAAAAUAGUAAUUCAACUUUUAAGUUGAGAGCUUCAUGCUUAUAAAAAUACUAGUUCUGGAAACGUGCCUUGCACGUUUGACCUCUGUUACUGUUAUAAUUUAUAUAGGCCCAAGAUAUUAAAUUGUUCAACAUUGUCUGACGUACUCCUAUAUGUCUUUUUGUGCAUAUAAUAUAAACUUUUUUUAAUGUGUACUUUUUCCUAGAACUUAAAUAUCAACAAUUUUUUGGUGAAUGAUGAGCAAAUUGUAAGUCUAGAACUAAGCCCCAAGGUUGAAAUUUCUUGGUACAUAAUUACUCCAACAAUCAUUAAAAAUUAAAAAAAAAUGAAUGAGGGACACAAACCAAUAAGAAAAAUAGUAACCAACAAAAAGAUAUUACAAGAACUAUUAGAUUAUUGUUUCUCCAACAACCAUGGAAAUAAAAAAUGAAUGAAGACACAAAUCAAUAAGAAAAAUAGUGACCAAUAAAAAACUACUCCUUAAAGAAAUAUUAGAUGAUGAAAACAAAGUGUGGUGGAUUAAUAUUUUUUAUUCAAUUUAUAAAGGGAGAAAUUAAGUACAUGAAAGGUUUGUGCAUGAAUGUGUUAAAUGGUAGAAGCUAAAAAAUUUUAACAAUUAAAUUCAUUAAGAAAUGGAAAAUGAUAAGUUGUAACAUCUAAUCAUGUUUGGUCUAGUUUAAUUGUCUUUAAUUUUAAAAAUUAGUACAAGAUUUUUUAUUAAAAAAUUGGUGAAGGACAUUUUCGUAAUUCAACUUAAAAAUUAAAAUCUUCCCACGUAUAAUAAUAUAUGAUAUAUUUAAUUAAAUAAUAAAUGUGAUUCAAUAUUUUGAUAUUUAGGGGUAAAUUGGUCUUUCAACUUUUAUCUUUGAGGCUUCAUACUUAUAAUAAUAUAUGAUUGGCUAAUAUCUACAAAAUUGAAAUUAUAUCAAAGUCCGUGUAUUAUUUUGGGAGAAAUAGAAUAUGAAAAGAAUCUUAGCAUUACAAUGAAUAGAGUCAAUAUUAAAGACAAAAAAGUUCGUAAAAUAAACAAAUCUCAAAAUAACAAUCCCUACUAUAUCAUUCAUUGCAAAAGUAAUUCAUGCAUCGGGCUUUCAGCAUAACUAAAUGUUCGUUAAACCAAACCACACAAUGAAAAUACAUCAUAGUGAAAGGAAAACUUACUACUACGUGUGCCAAAUCUGCAACUCCCUGUUUCAUUUUAUGUGGCAACAUUUGAACCAGUAUGGAGUUUGAGAAAUAAUGAAGACUUAGAAAUAUUUACAAAUUGCCCUUUAAAAAGAUAACUCACUUUUCUGUCUCAUCAUAAAUAUAUUAGAAAAUUAAGUGAGACCAAUAAGGAUAAAAGAGAAAUUAUAUCUUUAAAUACUUACCAAAAAAGAAAUGAGAGUAUUUAUUACGAAUACAAAAUGCAUAUCGGAACCCCCUUUGACACGACUGAUAAACUUGGCUCAAUGGUCGAGGUAUUUCAAAUUCAUCUUCAGGUUGUGGGUUCAACAAAUUUUUGAAAGACUCGAUAAAGUAGAAAGAAACGUUAAAUGAGACAUGACUAAACAAGUUAAACAUUUUAUAAAUUUUAAUUUGAAAAUACAAAAAGACACCAUAAAAGUUAAAAGCCCUCUCAUGCUUGAAUACAAACCAUAAAACAGUAAUGUCAUAACUAAUUAAUUCUACAAAUUCUAUUCCAUAUGAAACCAGCAAUCCUUUUUUCACAAUGUAUUUUCUGCUUAAUCGAAACGAGGAGGGAGUGUCCCGUUGAUGAAGGAUGAAAACAUGGUUAAUGCACGGCCAGGUUGAUAGCUUGGCACGAAAUGUCCUGCUCCACGUACUGUCACGAAUGUCAAGUUUUGGUAUUCUACAGCGUAACCUCCAACCUGGAGAUAUCAAAUACUUAAUUACUUGUAGAGUUGAAGAUCGAAAUGAAUGAGGACAACUUGGUUAAUUACCUCUCCUUGGAAGAACCAGGGGUACCAUGCCGUUUUGAUUGGUGUUUUGAUUUUGUCGAUACCAUAUCUACUUGUUGUUACAGGCAAAAUAUGGUCUAUGUCUCCGCUGGAAAAAUAAGAAGGAUGAAGCAGAGUGUCUUGAGCUAGAGCCUAGCAGACAAAUUUACUAUUAUACUACGAACCUAAUUCUUUGCUUGAUUUACUUACCUAUAUAUCCAAACCCGAAGACCACUUUGCAUGAGCUCUUUGUAGAUUGGCAGAACAGUAUCUGGGGAGUCUUGCCAAAAACCGUGUAUGUAACCACUGCACAAAUGAUCAAAUUAUAUAUAUCCAAAAAGAGAGGGGCAAAGGUCACUAUUUUGAAGAAUUAAAAAGUUUUUUUGAAAAAGCAUCUACCUGCAAGAUUCCCAGGAAUGGGGUAUAUCUCUGAUAUUAAGUGCCUUCUGUACUUCAUCUGUGUUUAGGUAAUUCUCUACGUAAUCAGGCGAGCAUGGAUCAAAUCCAUCUAUCUGUUAUAAUACAAAAACGAAAAAGAAGUUAUGCUAUAGAUUGAUUGUAAUUUGGGCGUAGAAUGUCGUUGAGCAUGGUCUUUCAUUUUUCACUCACUUUAAUUUCUGACACUAUUAUUUAGAUUGGUAAAUACACCGGGAACAAAUCAGCAGUUAGUCAGUGGAACUUACAGGAAGGGAAGUAUAGGCAGAGGAGUUGCAGAGUUGAGAGUAUGUGUUAUAAUCAUAUAUAUUGGCUUGACAUGAAUCUGCUUCGCUUGUGUACUUGUCACAGGCUUCUGAGGUCGAUGUUUCUGUCGAGAAGUUGCAAUUCUUGACAAUUCCUUCAUGGACUUCAUCUGAUAUUAGUGCGUGCGUCCAAUAAAAGUCGUAGGAACCACUAUUCCAUGUUUCAUCGUCAAGGAGGGCAUUUCCAGUCUGAAAAUCAUAUCAUGUGCAAUUAAGAUAACAUUAGUGGCCUAGUCAGUAUUAAAAAAAGGUAAUUAUCAUUUGAACAAGUUUAAUUAGCUUACUGCAAUUCCUUGCAAGUUAAUGACAAGGUUGGGUUCUGUUUUCUUGUGAGAUAAGAUUAGCUGAGCAAGUUGAGGUACGUAGUGACCGGCAUAACUCUCCCCAACAAUGUAGAAAUCGCGGUGUUUAUAUUCUGGGUAUCUUUCCAUCCAAUUGACGAGAAAGGUGAAACUGUCUUGUCUAGUUUUUUCGUCUCCAGUAGUAUAAUCUGAUGAUGUAUUAGAAUAAGAGAAUCCAACACCAGCUGGUGAUUC
rnacentral:lncRNA from 1 species